rnacentral:rRNA from 1 species
GACGAACGCUGGCGGCGUGCUUAACACAUGCAAGUCGAGCGGUAAGGCCCUUUCGGGGGUACACGAGCGGCGAACGGGUGAGUAACACGUGGGUGACCUGCCCUCAGCUCUGGGAUAAGCCUGGGAAACUGGGUCUAAUACUGGAUAUGACUCCACGGUGCAUGUCGUGGGGUGGAAAGCCUUGUGCGGCUGAGGGUGGGCCCGCGGCCUAUCAGCUUGUUGGUGGGGUGANGGCCUACCAAGGCGACGACGGGUAGCCGGCCUGAGAGGGCGACCGGCCACACUGGGACUGAGAUACGGCCCAGACUCCUACGGGAGGCAGCAGUGGGGAAUCUUGCGCAAUGGGCGAAAGCCUGACGCAGCGACGCCGCGUGA